rnacentral:misc_RNA from 1 species
GCCGCCGCCGCCGCUCGACCUAAUCCUCACAUCGCAGGAUUGAGUUUCUUCUUGCAAAUCAGCCAGGAUGGUGAGGGUCAGUGUCCUGAAUGAUGCCCUAAAGAGCAUGUAUAAUGCCGAGAAACGUGGAAAACGACAAGUUAUGAUCAGGCCGUCUUCCAAGGUGAUCAUCAAGUUUCUUAUCGUCAUGCAGAAGCAUGGAUACAUUGGCGAGUUUGAAUAUGUUGAUGAUCAUAGGUCUGGUAAAAUAGUUGUUGAAUUGAAUGGGAGGCUGAACAAGUGUGGGGUCAUCAGUCCUCGCUUUGAUGUUGGUGUCAAAGAGAUUGAACCCUGGACUGCCAGGUUGCUCCCAUCGCGACAGUUUGGUUAUAUUGUGCUGACGACAUCCGCGGGCAUCAUGGACCAUGAGGAAGCUAGGAGGAAGAAUGUUGGCGGUAAAGUACUUGGUUUUUUCUACUAGUUGAUUUCUUUUCUUCGUUCUGGUCGGAAUGUUAGAGGUUAAGUACCUGGUGUUUUCUUAGAAGAGUGUUUUGAAGAUGUGUUUUGUUAUGUUAUUCCUUUGAGAAACUUCUGAAAAAUUGUGAC